UACGUAGGGCGCAAGCGUUAUCCGGAAUUAUUGGGCGUAAAGAGCGCGUAGGCGGUCCGAUAAGUCGGCUGUGAAAGUCAGGGGCUCAACCCUUGAAAGCCGGCCGAUACUGUCGGACUAGAGUCCGGAAGAGGCAAGUGGAAUUCCCGGUGUAGCGGUGAAAUGCGCAGAUAUCGGGAGGAACACCAAUGGCGAAGGCAGCUUGCUGGGACGGUACUGACGCUGAGGCGCGAAAGCGUGGGGAGCAAACAGGG
rnacentral:rRNA from 1 species